UGGGGAAUCUUGCGCAAUGGGCGAAAGCCUGACGCAGCCAUGCCGCGUGAAUGAUGAAGGUCUUAGGAUUGUAAAUUCUUUCACCGGGGACGAUAAUGACGGUACCCGGAGAAGAAGCCCCGGCUAACUUCGUGCCAGCAGCCGCGGUAAUACGAAGGGGGCUAGCGUUGCUCGGAAUUACUGGGCGUAAAGGGAGCGUAGGCGGACAUUUAAGUCAGGGGUGAAAUCCCGGGGCUCAACCUCGGAAUUGCCUUUGAUACUGGGUGUCUUGAGUGUGAGAGGGGUAUGUGGAACUCCGAGUGUAGAGGUGAAAUUCGUAGAUAUUCGGAAGAACACCAGUGGCGAAGGCGACAUACUGGCUCAUUACUGACGCUGAGGCUCGAAAGCGUGGGGAGCAAACAGGAUUAGAUACCCUGGUAGUCCACGCCGUAAACGAUGAUUGCUAGUUGUCGGGAUGCAUGCAUUUCGGUGACGCAGCUAACGUCAUUAAGCAAUCCGCCUGGGGAGUACGGUCNCAAGAUUAAAACUCAAAGGAAUUGAC
rnacentral:rRNA from 1 species